rnacentral:rRNA from 1 species
CAUUAUCGAGUCUUUGAAGUGGGUCUUUGAGCUGGCCUUCAUUGGCAAGUGCUCGGGCCCCGCUCCAAAAUCCACUCAACUACACCUGUGCACUUUCGGAGGAUUCGCGGGGGGAACUUGUUUCCCCUGCGAGCCACCCNNCCGUCUCUUAUCACAAACAUCGUAUUACAUGUCUUGUAGAACGCGUUGAAUGCCUUACGGGGCAAAAACAUAAUACAACUUUCAACAACGGAUCUCUUGGCUCUCGCAUCGAUGAAGAACGCAGCGAAAUGCGAUAAGUAAUGUGAAUUGCAGAAUUCAGUGAAUCAUCGAAUCUUUGAACGCAUCUUGCGCUCCUUGGUAUUCCGAGGAGCAUGCCUGUUUGAGUGUCAUGAAAUCAUCAACCUCACCAGCUUUGUUGCUUUGGUGUAGGCUUGGAUUUGGGGAAUUCAUCUGCGGGCCCUCCGAGGUCGGCUUCCCUUGAAUGUAUUAGUCGGAUUUUGUUGCCUCCGUAUCCGAACGGUGUGAUAAACGUCAUUCAUCGAUCGGCGGUGGCUGUGUUCGGCUUCUAACCGCCGUCUUCUUCGACGACAAUCCUUUCUUGACUCAUCUGACCUCAAAUCAGGUAGGACUACCCGCUGAACUUAA